GGGGCCGUAGCUCAGCUGGGAGAGCGCAUGAAUGGCAUUCAUGAGGCCAGGGGUUCGAUCCCCCUCGGCUCCACCA
rnacentral:tRNA from 2 species